rnacentral:rRNA from 1 species
CCUACGGUAGGCAGCAGUGAGGAAUAUUGGUCAAUGGGCGGAAGCCUGAACCAGCCAAGUAGCGUGCAGGAUGACGGCCCUACGGGUUGUAAACUGCUUUUAUACGGGAAUAACGCGCCUUACGUGUAGGGCUUUGCAUGUACCGUAUGAAUAAGGCACGGCUAAUUCCGUGCCAGCCGCCGCCGUAAUACGGAAGGUCCGGGCGUUAUCCGGAUUUAUUGGGUUUAAAGGGAGCGUAGGCCACAAGGCAAGCGUGCUGUGAAAUGUCCGGGCUCAACCCGGGCCUUGCAGCGCGAACUGGCGUGCUUGAGUCCGCGGAAAGCAGGCGGAAUGCGUCGUGUAGCGGUGAAAUGCUUAGAUAUGACGAAGAACCGCGAUUGCGAAGGCAGCUUGCUGCAGCGGAACUGACGCUGAUGCUCGAAAGCGCGGGGAUCGAACAGGAUUAGAUACCCUGGUAGUC